rnacentral:rRNA from 1 species
UACGUAGGGGGCAAGCGUUGUCCGGAAUCAUUGGGCGUAAAGCGCGUGUAGGCGGCUAGUCAAGUCCGCUGUGAAAACUCGAGGCUCAACUUCGAGCUGUCGGUGGAAACUUUCUGGCUAGAGUCCGGAAGAGGAGAAUGGAAUUCCUGGUGUAGCGGUGAAAUGCGCAGAUAUCAGGAAGAACACCCGUGGCGAAGGCGGUUCUCUGGGGCGGUACUGACGCUGAGACGCGAAAGCGUGGGGAGCGAACAGG